rnacentral:rRNA from 1 species
AGUGAACGCUGGCGGUAGGCCUAGCACAUGCAAGUCGAACGGCAGCACAGUAAGAGCUUGCUCUUACGGGUGGCGAGUGGCGGACGGGUGAGGAAUACAUCGGAAUCUACUUUUUCGUGGGGGAUAACGUAGGGAAACUUACGCUAAUACCGCAUACGACCUACGGGUGAAAGCAGGGGAUCUUCGGACCUUGCGCGAUUGAAUGAGCCGAUGUCGGAUUAGCUAGUUGGCGGGGUAAAGGCCCACCAAGGCGACGAUCCGUAGCUGGUCUGAGAGGAUGAUCAGCCACACUGGAACUGAGACACGGUCCAGACUCCUACGGGUGGCAGCAGUGGGGAAUAUUGGACAAUGGGCGCAAGCCUGAUCCAGCCAUGCCGCGUGGGUGAAGAAGGCCUUCGGGUUGUAAAGCCCUUUUGUUGGGAAAGAAAAGCAGCAGGUUAAUACCCCGCUGUUCUGACGGUACCCAAAGAAUAAGCACCGGCUAACUUCGUG